rnacentral:lncRNA from 1 species
GAAGAAGUUUAGUCCCUGUUUUUACUGAUUAUACCUGUAAAUACAGUUAUUUCAUCCAGAGCUGAACUGACUCAGCCAUGAUUUAGGAUGAUUUAAGACAAACAACAUUAAGAACUGAUCGCUUCAAGGAGGCCUGGAGCAAAUUGAACCGCUGAUUGAAUCCAGAGCCAAAGGACAAUAAAAGAAUCAAGACCGACUUGAGUUUGAUGGAGGGCAAAAGAGACAGACACAUGUCUGUGUACGUCCACGAGCUAAAGCACACCAUCCUCAACAACAGGCAUCUCUCUUCAGGCUAUGAGAGCGAGCUGUUGGUGGAAUUGCAUCAGCCAAUCACAGAUGCUACAUCACUUCCAGAUGUUUCCAGCCAUCUUUGCUGGUGGAACGCAAACCUCUGUUGCCUUUUCACCACAAUACUGGAAGCUGCGACCUGAAUCCAUCUGAACUCUAACGCUGCCUCAAUUAUGACAAAAUAAAUAUACUGUAAACAUCAUCUGAUAUUUUACUGUGGCUUAUAAGUGAUGUAGGAGGACAGACUGAUAUCCCAAACGUGGAUGUGAGAAAAAAGAAACAACAACCCUCCUUUUAAGAAUAACAGUCCAACCUCUGAUUUGCAAAACGUCAAAUAUGAAAUGCAAAAUGUUGAAACUGUAAAACACAAGCUGGGAAUUCUCCCUAAUGUAUUAUUGUUCCUUUUUUGUGUUUAAUAACCAUACUUCAUAUCUGAUUUGCCGUGGCCUUGUCAAGCGAUUGUAGAUCAGUCUCAGUGUGUCCCUCUGCCUGUAGGAAGCUCGGACGUGCAUGGACGGAAACCAGAGCGCUGACAAAAGGGUUGUAUGUGGAAACAUCCAGGGUGGGAACUGUACGGUGAAGCUG